AGGUUGUUCCUCUGCUGGAAGAGCACGUGCCUCGCCUGGCCUCUUUGUCUGGACACCUUCUUUUCUUUAAGAAUCCACCCAGGAAUGGCUCCUGACGCUUCCAGGUCUGCAGAAAGCCAUCCCCGGCCCCUUCCUCACCCAGCCUGAGCGCUGUUCUCCCCUGCAGUGCCCACACAGUUCCCGGUGUGAACGGCUGACAUCCCGUUCACAUCGGCCUCCUGUACUGCACCCUGAGCUUGUGAGCUCUGUGACAGCAAAGGGCUUAUGUGAAGGGCGUUUGGCACCUUCCACAUGGAGGUGAACCCAUUUACCUUGUUAAUUCCAUUUGCUCCCACCUCUUAGGUACCUGCAUAUUUCUAUCCUUCAGAUUUCCUAGCACUGGGCCUUAUAACAGCAUUUCUUAAAAUGGGGUCCCCAGUCCAACAGCAUCAGCAUCACAUGGGAAUUUGCUAGAAAUGCAACUUUUGGAGCCCUCCUUGGACCUCUGGGAUCUAAAACUCUGCAGUGAGAACACGAGACUUUUGAAAAAACACAGACGAUGAAACUAUGUGCUCUUUCAGCCAAUACAAUGUGGGAAGUUUUUCUGUUUGUUAAAAUAAUUCAGGUCCUUACAGGGUAGCUUGGUGUAAAUGUGGCCACAGACUCUCAGUUUGGGUCCUCUCAUCUGGUCCUCCACCGUCUAAGGCCAGCACACCAUUCCUGAAGCCCAGCUUCACACCCUGGAUUUUACCCCUCAUCCCUUGAGGACCCGAAGACAAACAGCCUUGUCAACGCACUAGUGCUUUGUCUCACCUCAACUGCAAAGUGGCCAUGGGGUCUUCACCAGCAGCUGGGGAGGAUGCUCCAGAAACUGGCCCUGAUAGCUUUGCCCUGUAACUUGACUGGAUUGCAACCACUAUGGAGUUGGGUCAGACACAACCACUGGGCAGCUGACACGAGAUCUGCACAUUUGUUACUAGAAGAGCCAGAAGGCCACCCACUGUUCCUCCUAGUGAACCACUGGCAGAGCAGGUAUGGCUUAGAGCCCAGUUUCAUGCUUGACUACUGAUAUGGUUUGGCUGUGUUCCACCCAAAUCUCAUCUUGAAUUUUAGCUCCCACAAUUCCCACAUGUUGUGGGAGGGACCUGAUUGGAGGUAAUUGAAUCAUGGGGGCAGGUCAUUCCCAUGCUGUUCUCAUGAUAAUGAAUAAGUCUCAUGAGAUCUGAUGGUUUUAUAAGGGGAAACCCCUUUCGCUUGACGCUCAUUUUCUUUUCUUUUCUGCUGCCAUGUGAGAUGUGCCUUUCACCUUCCACCAUGAUUAUGAGGCCUCCCCUGCCAUGUGGAACUAACUGGAAGGAGACAUGGCUUGCAUCAACAGCAACAGAGAUGGGCCCCACAGUUGCCACUGCCUUCGCCAGGUCCUUCUCCCAUGAAGUUCACAGAUGUGGGGAUCUCAAGAAGCAGACGUUCCUGGAACUCUUUCCCCUUCCUGUGCUUCUGGUAUUGAAAACCAUUCAUCACCUGCCUGAAUUCUUAAUUAGUCUUCAAGGAAAAGUAAAUAAAAUGUUAAAAAGCAAGAGAUUGAUUUGGUAAAGAACUGAGGAGA
rnacentral:lncRNA from 1 species